rnacentral:rRNA from 1 species
UGGGGAAUAUUGCACAAUGGGCGAAAGCCUGAUGCAGCAACGCCGCGUGAGUGAUGAAGGUCUUCGGAUUGUAAAGCUCUGUCUUUUGGGACGAUAAUGACGGUACCAAAGGAGGAAGCCACGGCUAACUACGUGCCAGCAGCCGCGGUAAUACGUAGGUGGCGAGCGUUGUCCGGAUUUACUGGGCGUAAAGGGUGCGUAGGCGGAUGUUUAAGUGAGAUGUGAAAUACCCGGGCUUAACUUGGGUGCUGCAUUUCAAACUGGAUAUCUAGAGUGCAGGAGAGGAGAAUGGAAUUCCUAGUGUAGCGGUGAAAUGCGUAGAGAUUAGGAAGAACACCAGUGGCGAAGGCGAUUCUCUGGACUGUAACUGACGCUGAGGCACGAAAGCGUGGGUAGCAAACAGGAUUAGAUACCCUGGUAGUCCACGCCGUAAACGAUGAGUACUAGGUGUAGGAGGUAUCGACCCCUUCUGUGCCGCAGUAAACACAUUAAGUACUCCGCCUGGGAAGUACGAUCGCAAGAUUAAAACUCUAAGUGAAUUAAACGGGGGUC